GAAUCCGUGCCCAACAAUGGCGGCGUCCUGGAUCGAGGGGUCAAGCCAAGUCUCCGUGAAAACCAUAACGUUACAGUUCUUCAUGUCCCGUUGAAAUGCCAUCCUGCUUCGGAGUUCAUCCAGCUUAUUAUCCAGGGAUUGGACAUUUGCCAGAAGUGAGCUCGGUAGAGGAGGCCGGUUUUCGCGUUUCCUCAGCCUGACUAGGACCCCGGGCCGGGAUCCUCGCCGUCUUUGUCCCCAGGUAAAGCGCCAACAGGGCUCGCUUGGGAGGAUUGCAUGCUGCAAAAAAGUUUCAAUUAAAGAGAAAAAGUACAACAGAACGACACUAGAAGUGAGAAGCUGAAAGCCAGUGUCCCCACUGUAAUGGCAACCUGAAGACGUCUGUCCAUCACAGUGCCAAGAUCCCCAACAGAUACUCAUCGUUGCAGUAUGCCCAGCAGUGGUGAGGAAGAGGAGGGAGGUUGCAGUUGUCUGAUAACCUCACUGGAUUACAGGAGUGAAAAGCAGCUCAGUAUGAGGUUUUGUUUAAUGUAGUGACACUACAAUAAACCUAUGUCAUCUCUAACAAA